GGGAGUUGUGGGGAUGGAGGUGGCACCAGGCACUGACACCAGCCCCUAGGAUCUCCUCAGUGCCUUCGGGUAUUGCCUGUGGAGAGGAGGGCAAUCAGGGUGCAAGAUUUGCUUAAGAACCUUCCCAAAAGAGACAUGUUUUUCAGAACCUAAAUCUAUUCCCUUUCUUUGCUUUGCAAGAGGGAAACUGAAGCAUGGAGGAGGGGGGGCAGGUGCUUGGCCCUAUGUGCAGUGGGGCUGGGGUUUUGUUUUGUAACUUUUGUCACAUAUUCAAAUCAUGCACUAUUUGUGUUGGGGCUAUUUUAGUUCCUUUGCCAGAGUGUCGUUCCAGGAAUGCAAUGUUUUCCCUGGCAGCAAAAGCCUUUGUUCGUGUGUUUUCUUCCUCCUUGUGUGUUUUCCUCUCUGCUCUGCAAGCCUGGGGGCUGCUGUGGUCUGGUUGUGCUCAAAACCAGAAGCAGCUCCUGAAUGAGAAGCCAAAUCGCUGUCCUUGACCACGAUGGGGAAGUUUGGGCUAUAAUUCAUUGAUGUGUCUCCCAUGGAGAUAUGCAUAGUAGGGUUCAGAGGGCAGCAUAAAAUGAAAGCUGGAUACCGUAACACACAGAAAAGCUUGCUGAAAGCCACUCUGCUUUCAGCCUCACUGCUGAACACAUUGGCUGUGGUUUCUGGAUGUGGCAGAGCGGAUGCAUCUGGCUGGCAAACAGCUCACGUUAAUUGAUAGCUCUGCUGGGAAAUCCAUACCGUUAAAUUCUGCACUUAAUUGUCUGUAUCUGCGCUUCCUUCCACACAGUCACAAAUCAAGGGAGCUUUGCAGCGGGCCGCCUGGCGUUCAGUAAGAUAAAAGUCAGACAGCAAGAAGCUUGCUUGCAAAGGGAUGGGAACGUGAAGUUGUGAUUGAUCUGAAAGAGAGACAGUGCAAUGGCAAAGGCAUCUGGAUCAGUCUGCAUGUGUGGGGAUGAAAUUAGGGCAAGUGCCCCAGCUGAACCCCAUCUGAAUGGAACUCCCAGUCAGAGAAUGGCCUGGGUUGAAAAGGAUCACAAUGAUAAUUUGGUUUCAACCCCCCUGCUAUAUGCAGGGUCACC